GGUGAUCUAAGCCCCCAAUUUCAUCCAACCCUUAAUGCUGAGUGUCAAGCAGGGAGGCAUCGGGUUCCAUUUUAUAGUCUUUUGGUAUGACUCGGCCGGGGAUCGAACCCACGACCUCCCAGUCUCAGGGCGAACACUCAUACCACACUU